rnacentral:lncRNA from 12 species
CUUGCUUUGUUUAUCUGGAGAUCACAUAGCCUUUCAAGUUUACAUCUAACUGGCAGCUGCAGGCCCUGGCAACCACAUAGCUGGGCAGAUGUUAGAAAUCUGAGCUGAGCUGCAGCAGCUGGAAUGGCCAAGUGGGUUCCCCAGAGCCAAGGUCUGGGAAAGAAGUACACAAAUGACUUUGGGAACACCAUCUUUCUAGAAGACGAGAAGCCCAGUCUCUGUUUAAAAGGCCUUAGAGUCAACAGAGGGUUUAAAUCAUGCAUACUGAGCACUGAGCUUCUGUGCAAGGAAGAAUAAAUAAAUGAAAGAUGCCAUGAAGGAGAAUGCUUGGCUGACCACUGAGAAGUACGUACAUUCGAAUCUGUUUCCCUCGAGCAAUGCAUUCAGGAUCUGGCAAGAAAGGUGGUUUGGAGAGAAGCUUUGCCUGCCUUUCUGCUCCCUAUGCUGCCUCUUCUGAAUGCUUUGUGGGCAGAACUCAUAGCAGAUUCCAUAAGAGGGGUUCUAUCCAGUCCCCUCACAUCUUGUCCAUGGGCCCAUCUGUGGGGGUGGCAGAUGUUGAGUUCUCAGUGAUGCCUAAGCUGCCUCAAAUCAUGCCCAACAGCUGGUUUGGGACCAGUUGUGGGGAAGUCAAAUCCCAGGUGUGACACCAGCUGGAUCCCCCACUCCUGACACCACACACUUCAGAUGAUGAGAAAAUGAUUAGCAAUUUUAAGCAUCCCAAGAGGUCUGAUAAGCUUGUACAAUAUGCUAGGAAGAAAUAAAACUGAGAUCCAUCCAAAGAUAUCUGGCUUG